rnacentral:rRNA from 1 species
CAGAAGCCUCAAGCGUUACCCGGAUUUACUGGGCGUAAAGGAUGUGUAGGUGGUGUGAUUAGUCGUGCGUUAAAUCUUCGGGCUUAACCCGAAACUCGCGUAGGAAACGGUCACACUAGAGGAAGUGAGAGGUAUGUGGAACUCAAGGUGUAGGGGUGAAAUCCGUUGAUAUCUUGGGGGAACACCAAAAAGCGAAGGCAACAUACUGGCACUUUCCUGACACUGAAACAUGAAAGCGUGGGUAGCGAAUCGGAUU